ensembl:misc_RNA
CUGACCACACUCCCUGGAGCCUUCUCCCGAGGUGCGCGGGUGACCUUGGCACAUACAGCCAUCGUGAUGAUACUUUAAGUGGAGGCUGAAUCAUCUCCCCUUUGAGCUGCUUGGCACGUGGCUCCCUUGGUGUUCUCCUUUUACUGCCAGGACACUGAGAUUUGGAGAG